GGGCGUUUAGCUCAGUUGGCUAGAGCAUCUCGUUUACACCGAGAGGGUCGGGGGUUCAAGUCCCUCAACGCCCA
rnacentral:tRNA from 3 species